rnacentral:lncRNA from 1 species
AUCACUAUCAGGAAGAACAUGUGGAAGGCCACCAUUAUGUAAUGGGUCAAGAAGUGAAAGGUCAUCCGCAGCAGUAAACUCUUCUUCUUCCGGCUCUUCCUGUUCGGGCUCAGGGGUUAAGACAGAUUCACUGUCGCUGUCUACUUCAAUGUUCUCGGGUGAAGUAGAGCGCUUCUUGAAACGUUUCUUGGACAUACUUGUUUCUUGAAAGAAUUCUCCUUCAUAUGUGUGUGGGUUAAUGUGAGGUUCGUAAUCCUCUUCAUUGAGUGUAGGUGGUCUAAAAUGUGGUGGCACUUCAUAAACGACAUCCCAACCUUUGAG